AGCGAACGCUGGCGGCAGGCCUAACACAUGCAAGUCGAACGAACUCUUCGGAGUUAGUGGCGGACGGGUGAGUAACACGUGGGAACGUGCCUUUAGGUUCGGAAUAACUCAGGGAAACUUGUGCUAAUACCGAAUGUGCCCUUCGGGGGAAAGAUUUAUCGCCUUUAGAGCGGCCCGCGUCUGAUUAGCUAGUUGGUGAGGUAAAGGCUCACCAAGGCGACGAUCAGUAGCUGGUCUGAGAGGAUGAUCAGCCACAUUGGGACUGAGACACGGCCCAAACUCCUACGGGAGGGAGCAGUGGGGAAUCUUGCGCAAUGGGCGAAAGCCUGACGCAGCCAUGCCGCGUGAAUGAUGAAGGUCUUAGGAUUGUAAAAUUCUUUCACCGGGGACGAUAAUGACGGUACCCGGAGAAGAAGCCCCGGCUAACUUCGUG
rnacentral:rRNA from 1 species